rnacentral:rRNA from 1 species
GAUGAACGCUAGCGGCAGGCUUAAUACAUGCAAGUCGAGGGGCAGCGCAGUGUAGCAAUACAUGGGCGGCGACCGGCAAACGGGUGCGGAACACGUACAGAACCUUCCUUCGAGCGGGGAUAGCCCAGAGAAAUUUGGAUUAAUACCCCAUAGUAUAGUGGAGAGCAUCUCUUACUAUUAAAGAUUAUCACUUGAAGAUGGCUGUGCGGCU